GACUUAUAUUUAGGAACGGAGGGAGUAGGUUAUAGCUGUAUUACUUUUUCCAGACCUUAAUAAUGCUUGUUCCAUGCAGCAAAUUGCUAGUGAGUCCUGGUCCGUGGCAGUUGAUCGCGCAUGUGGGGGGCUUCUGGAUGCAUUUAUUGUCACGUGUUAUAAGGAUAUACAUGUUUUGCGAGAAUGUGCAAGUAAAGUGAAUUUCAAUAACCUUCGAAUUAUUGUGUAUGAUUUUACUAGGCCACGAUUGAUCAUUCUGAUGGUUCACUUCCUACAACAGAGCACCCUACAGUACUAUCAGUUAUUCAGUCAGAAAAUCACACUGUGCUGAAUGUAUUGGUGGAUCAGGGUCAUGCUGAAAGGCAGGUCCUGGUUAAAGAUUAUGAAGUCGGAAAAUCUCUUGCAUUUGAUGAUAGGAUGCGGAAUAUAAAGGAAGUGUAUACUUCUGAUGGGGACAAAAUGUAAGUCUCGGUGGUGAUGCUCAUAUUAGUUUGGUCAUAUUCCAGCCAUUUACUUGUUAUAUCAAGCAGUUUACCAUAAAUAAUCCUUGCUAGAAGUAAUUCUAGAAUCCUUCUAGGCGUUUCUAUCUCCAUGUGCCGCCAAAUAUUCAUGUAAUUGCAGAUUCCUGCUUAUCAAUUUAGAUUUGAUGAAUUACCAUCUUGCAAUUUUAGCGGGAGUACUCCCCCUUCUGAAAAAAACAUCUUGCAAUUUUAUUGGACCGACUAGCUCGA